rnacentral:tRNA from 1 species
UUCCGCCUGGGUCGGCGCCGCGACCGGUGCCGCUUGCACAGGUGCCGGCUGCACUGGUUCGGCGGCGGGUUCGGCACCCGCUGUGGACG